GACGAACGCUGGCGGCGUGCCUAAUACAUGCAAGUAGAACGCUGAAGGAGGAGCUUGCUUCUCCGGAUGAGUUGCGAACGGGUGAGUAACGCGUAGGUAACCUGCCUGGUAGCGGGGGAUAACUAUUGGAAACGAUAGCUAAUACCGCAUAACAGUAGAUAUUGCAUGAUAUCUGCUUGAAAGGUGCAAUUGCAUCACUACCAGAUGGACCUGCGUUGUAUUAGCUAGUUGGUGAGGUAACGGCUCACCAAGGCGACGAUACAUAGCCGACCUGAGAGGGGGAUCGGCCACACUGGGACUGAGACACGGCCCAGACUCCUACGGGAGGCAGCAGUAGGGAAUCUUCGGCAAUGGACGGAAGUCUGACCGAGCAACGCCGCGUGAGUGAAGAAGGAUUUCGGAUCGUAAAGCUCUGUUGUAAGGGAAGAACGAGUGUGAGAGUGGAAAGUUCACACUGUGACGGUAUCUUACCAGAAAGGGACGGCUAACUACGUG
rnacentral:rRNA from 1 species